rnacentral:lncRNA from 1 species
AGUCGUGGUUGGGAGUAAGACUGAGCUGGGUAGAGAUAGUAAGGGGCAUGAGAGAUGGAGAAAGAAAGUCACAGCUUCCAUGAGACUUUGCUCAGUGCUAUGAUCUGAAUGCGUUUCCACCAAAUUCCUAUGCUGAAAUCCUAACUCCCAAGAAGAUGGUACUACGAGAUGAUUGGAAGGUGAUUAGGUCAUGAAGGCUCUGCCCUUAUGGGAUUAGUGCCCUCAUAAAAGGGGCCCAGAGAGCUAACUGCCUUACCCUUUCCCCAUGUCAGGACGGAAUGAGAAGGCGCCCUCAUCCAAACACUGGAUCUGCUGGUGCCUUGAUUCUGGACUCUACAGCCUUCAGAACUGUGAUAAAUAAAUUUCUGUUUUUUAUAAA